CAAUGGUGUCAGUGACAGUGAUGGUGAUGGUCUUGCUCGCGCUAUUGCCGCUUUUGUCAGUGGCCGUGCAGGUGGCUACGGUGGUGCCGACGGGGUAGACGCCAGAGGUGGAGGGGGCCGCGGGGGAGUAGGUGGUGACAACGUUGAGGUUCGUGUCCACGUUGUCAGUGGCGGUGCAUGUGAAGGAGAUGCCGUCGGCGCCGCCAAGCGUGUUGCCCUCCUUGGUGAUGGCGUUGGUGCUGGAACUGACCGUUGGGGCUGUGUUAUCUGUGGGACAUGCAGGGUGGGGGGGAUUACACGAAUGCGUUUGCAUGUGCGUAAUUGGUGAUUACUAUGUAGCAGAAGCAAGCAAGUGUUCUUCCAAGGUCGGAGCCGCAACAUGCGAAGCCAGUAGGAUCCAUGCCCCGCCGUGCCCCGCCCUGCCUCACUCCGUUCCCCGCGCCCCGCCCCACUGCCACCCAACCCGACCCGACCCGAUCCAACCCAACCCAAGCAACCCGCCAAGACCCGACCCGACCUACAGCAACCCUUGCCCACCCUACCCUCCCCUCCCCGACCCACGUCUCACCGAGAACGACCACAGCGAAUGUCGCGGUGCCGGUAUUGGUUCCGUCAGACGCGGUGCAGGUGACAGUGGUGCUGCCAAAUGGGAAAGAGUCACCAGAGGCAUAGUCACACGAGGGCGUCACGGCACCAACCACGAUGUCAGUGGCGGUGACGGCCGACCAGGUGACAGCAGCAGUGCCGCUGGCCGAAGCGUACACGGACGCCGGCGAGGGGACCGUAAUGGCCGGCGCAAUGGUGUCAGUGACAGUAAUGGUGAUGGUCUUGCUCGCGCUAUUGCCGCUUUUGUCAGUGGCCGUGCAGGUGGCUACGGUGGUGCCGACGGGGUAGACGCCAGAGGUGGAGGGGGCCGCGGGGGAGUAGGUGGUGACAACGUUGAGGUUCGUGUCCACGUUGUCAGUGGCGGUGCAUGUGAAGGAGAUGCCGUCGGCGCCGCCAAGCGUGUUGCCCUCCUUGGUGAUGGCGUUGGUGCUGGUGCUGACGUCUGGAGCUGUGUUAUCUGUGGGCGGACAUGCAGGGUGGGGGGGAUUACACGAAUGCGUUUGCAUGUGCGUAAUUGAUGAUUACUAUGUAGCAGAAGCAAGCAAGUGUUCUUCCAAGGUCGGAGCCGCAACAUGCGAAGCCAGUAGGAUCCAUGCCCCGCCGUGCCCCGCCCUGCCUCACUCCGUUCCCCGCGCCCCGCCCCACUGCCACCCAACCCGACCCGACCCGAUCCAACCCGACUCAACCCCACCCAACCCAACCCAAGCAACCCGCCAAGACCCGACCCGACCUACAGCAACCCUUGCCCACCCUACCCUCCCCUCCCCGACCCACGUCUCACCGAGAACGACCACAGCGAAUGUCGCGGUGCCGGUAUUGGUUCCGUCAGACGCGGUGCAGGUGACAGUGGUGCUGCCAAAUGGGAAAGAGUCACCAGAGGCAUAGUCACACGAGGGCGUCACGGCACCAACCACGAUGUCAGUGGCGGUGACGGCCGACCAGGUGACAGCAGCAGUGCCGCUGGCCGAAGCGUACACGGACGCCGGCGAGGGGACCGUAAUGGCCGGCGCAAUGGUGUCAGUGACAGUAAUGGUGAUGGUCUUGCUCGCGCUAUUGCCGCUUUUGUCAGUGGCCGUGCAGGUGGCUACGGUGGUGCCGACGGGGUAGACGCCAGAGGUGGAGGGGGCCGCGGGGGAGUAGGUGGUGACAACGUUGAGGUUCGUGUCCACGUUGUCAGUGGCGGUGCAUGUGAAGGAGAUGCCGUCGGCGCCGCCAAGCGUGUUGCCCUCCUUGGUGAUGGCGUUGGUGCUGGUGCUGACGUCUGGAGCUGUGUUAUCUGUGGGCGGACAUGCAGGGUGGGGGGGAUUACACGAAUGCGUUUGCAUGUGCGUAAUUGAUGAUUACUAUGUAGCAGAAGCAAGCAAGUGUUCUUCCAAGGUCGGAGCCGCAACAUGCGAAGCCAGUAGGAUCCAUGCCCCGCCGUGCCCCGCCCUGCCUCACUCCGUUCCCCGCGCCCCGCCCCACUGCCACCCAACCCGACCCGACCCGAUCCAACCCGACUCAACCCCUCCCAACCCAACCCAAGCAACCCGCCAAGACCCGACCCGACCUACAGCAACCCUUGCCCACCCUACCCUCCCCUCCCCGACCCACGUCUCACCGAGAACGACCACAGCGAAUGUCGCGGUGCCGGUAUUGGUUCCGUCAGACGCGGUGCAGGUGACAGUGGUGCUGCCAAAUGGGAAAGAGUCACCAGAGGCAUAGUCACACGAGGGCGUCACGGCACCAACCACGAUGUCAGUGGCGGUGACGGCCGACCAGGUGACAGCAGCAGUGCCGCUGGCCGAAGCGUACACGGACGCCGGCGAGGGGACCGUAAUGGCCGGCGCAAUGGUGUCAGUGACAGUAAUGGUGAUGGUCUUGCUCGCGCUAUUGCCGCUUUUGUCAGUGGCCGUGCAGGUGGCUACGGUGGUGCCGACGGGGUAGACGCCAGAGGUGGAGGGGGCCGCGGGGGAGUAGGUGGUGACAACGUUGAGGUUCGUGUCCACGUUGUCAGUGGCGGUGCAUGUGAAGGAGAUGCCAUCGGCGCCGCCAAGCGUGUUGCCCUCCUUGGUGAUGGC
rnacentral:lncRNA from 1 species